rnacentral:rRNA from 1 species
GAUGAACGCUGGCGGCGUGCCUAAUACAUGCAAGUCGAGCGAACAGACGAGGAGCUUGCUCCUCUGACGUUAGCGGCGGACGGGUGAGUAACACGUGGAUAACCUACCUAUAAGACUGGGAUAACUUCGGGAAACCGGAGCUAAUACCGGAUAAUAUAUUGAACCGCAUGGUUCAAUAGUGAAAGACGGUUUUGCUGUCACUUAUAGAUGGAUCCGCGCCGCAUUAGCUAGUUGGUAAGGUAACGGCUUACCAAGGCAACGAUGCGUAGCCGACCUGAGAGGGUGAUCGGCCACACUGGAACUGAGACACGGUCCAGACUCCUACGGGAGGCAGCAGUAGGGAAUCUUCCGCAAUGGGCGAAAGCUUGACGGAGCAACGCCGCGUGAGUGAUGAAGGUCUUCGGAUCGUAAAACUCUGUUAUUAGGGAAGAACAAAUGUGUAAGUAACUAUGCACGUCUUGACGGUACCUAAUCAGAAAGCCCCGGCUAACUACGAG